rnacentral:rRNA from 1 species
GACGAACGCUGGCGGCGUGCUUAACACAUGCAAGUCGAACGGAGAAUAUAGCAAUAUAUUCUUAGUGGCGAACGGGUGAGUAACGCGUAGACAACCUGCCUCAAAGAUGGGGACAACACCGCGAAAGUGGUGCUAAUACCGAAUGUGCUAAUGAUAUCUCAUGAUGUUAUUAGGAAAGGUGGCCUCUUUAAAUGCUACCGCUUUGAGAUGGGUCUGCGUCUGAUUAGCUAGUUGGUGAGGUAACGGCUCACCAAGGCGACGAUCAGUAGCCGGUCUGAGAGGAUGAACGGCCACACUGGGACUGAGACACGGCCCAGACUCCUACGGGAGGCAGCAGUGGGGAAUCUUCCGCAAUGGACGAAAGUCUGACGGAGCAACGCCGCGUGAGUGAAGAAGGCCUUCGGGUUGUAAAGCUCUGUCUUCAGGGACGAAUGUGAGAUAGGUGAAUAAUCUAUUUCAAUGACGGUACCUGAGGAGGAAGCCACGGCUAACUACGUGCCAGCAGCCGCGGUAAUACGUAGGUGGCAAGCGUUGUCCGGAAUUAUUGGGCGUAAAGCGCGCGCAGGCGGGAUACCAAGUCUAUCUUAAAAGUUCGGGGCUCAACCCCGUGAUGGGAUGGAAACUGGUAUUCUUGAGUGUCGGAGAGGAAAGUGGAAUUCCCAGUGUAGCGGUGAAAUGCGUAGAUAUUGGGAGGAACACCAGUGGCGAAGCGACUUUCUGGACGAUGUCUGACGCUGAGCGCGAAAGCCAGGGAAGUGAACGGGAUUAGAUACCCCGGUAAUCCUGGCCGUAAACGAUGGGUACUAGGUGUAGAGGGUAUCGACCCCUUCUGUGCCGGAGUUAACGCAAUAAGUACCCCGCCUGGGGAGUACGGUCGCAAGGUUGAAACUCAAGGAAUUGACGGGGGCCCGCACAAGCGGUGGAGUAUGUGGUUUAAUUCGACGCAACGCGAAGAACCUUACCAGGACUUGACAUUGAGUGAAAGGUCUAGAAUGAUCCCUCCCUUCGGGGACACA